rnacentral:rRNA from 1 species
UACGUAGGGGGCAAGCGUUAUCCGGAUUUACUGGGUGUAAAGGGCGCGUAGGCGGGAUGGCAAGUCAGAUGUGAAAUCCAGGGGCUCAACCCCUGAACUGCAUUUGAAACUGUCGUUCUUGAGUACUGGAGAGGCUGACGGAAUUCCUAGUGUAGCGGUGAAAUGCGUAGAUAUUAGGAGGAACACCAGUGGCGAAGGCGGUCAACUGGACAGCAACUGACGCUGAGGCGCGAAAGCGUGGGGAGCAAACAGG